CUGAUCAUCAUCAUCAUCAUGAGUCCUGAUCAUCAUCAUCAUCAUCGAGUCAUGAUCAUCAUCAUCAUCGAGUCCUGAUCAUCAUCAUGAGUCCUGAUCAUCAUCAUCAUCAUGAGUCCUGAUCAUCAUCAUCACCAUCAUGAGUUCUGAUCAUCAUCAUCAUGAGUACUGAUCAUCAUCAUCAUCACCAUCAUGAGUCCUGAUCAUCAUCAUCAUCAUGAGUCCUGAUCAUCAUCAUGAGUUCUGAUCAUCAUCAUCAUCAUCAUGAGUCCUGAUCAUCAUGAGUCCUGAUCAUCAUCAUCAUGAGUCGUCAUCAUCAUCGAGUCCUCAUCAUCAUCAUCAUCGAGUCCUGAUCAUCAUCAUCAUCAUGAGUCCUGAUCAUUAUCAUCAUCAUCAUCAUCGAGUCCUGAUCAUCAUCAUCAUGAGUCCUGAUCAUCAACAUCAUCAUGAGUUCUGAUCAUCAUCAUCAUCAUCAUGAGUCCUGAUCAUCAUCAUCAUGAGUCCUGAUCAUCAUCAUGAGUCCUCAUCCUCAU
rnacentral:lncRNA from 1 species